rnacentral:sRNA from 1 species
ACGAAAUGAUUAAUGCCAACCAAAGAGUGCUCAAGAUAUUAGCUGGACAAUAUAUUUUUCUACUGUCGGACAGACAGACACAUGCCAAUCAAUAUACGCUGUUCUUUCAGGGGGGUUUGAAACCCGAUCCAAUUAUAUUCAUGCAUAUUGUUUUGAUGCAUUGCUCGUGAUCGUAAAUCAUUUUAAACAUUUAUGCGGAAGGUAAUAAUGAAUGGUUAAAUUGUUUUGGACGGAAGACGUACCCGCUGGUCCUGUCUCAUGACCACUGUGUAGUAAACCACAGAAAGGUUUUAGGUUGGGACCAAUCGAAGUCAAUGCUGCUGUUCUUACACACUAAUGAUGUCACUGUAAUAAGGGAAAUGUACGGACGAGGAGCGCAGCUGUUGGGUUGAGAGAUGAAGACAGUAUCUGUGAACAUUUCGAUGUAAAUAAACAUCAAUUGUC